UCCCCCGCUUCUCCUCCCUGAGCGGGCGCCUGUCGUUCUACGAUUAGGCUUAUUUAAACCCGCCGUGCCUACACGGCGGUUUUUUUAU
rnacentral:ncRNA from 1 species